rnacentral:sRNA from 1 species
CUCCCCACUGCCCAUUCUCUGCUCUGGGUUCUGCCUGAUAGCAUGAGUGGGGCCUGCUUCUUCACUCUGUCUGCUUCACUUCUCCAGAGCAGGAGGAGGCAGCGGAAGAGGAUGCUGAAGCAGAGGCUGAGAUCGAGGAGACCAGGGCAGAAGAAGAUGAAGAAGAAGAGGAAGCAAAGGAGGCUGAAGAUGGCCCAAUGGAGGAGUCCAAACCAAAGCCCAGGUGAGUGGGGAGGCACCUGGGUAGAGCCGGGAGCAGAGGCUCAGGGAGAGAGGAUGAUGAUGGAACAGGGUGCAGUAUGGUGCAGUGGACACGGGCUGGGGGUUUGGUGGGCACAGAGCACCACAGUACAGUUGUACAAGUUGUGUACUGCACAAGCGUCUCUUCCUAAGGGAGUGAGUGAGGGCUGAAUUCCACCCAACACUCCAUCACCAAUCGUGCACCCUAGCAGGGAUGGGGCUAUGUUCUUCUAGAGGAAGGGCCCUGAACAGACACUCUCCUCUCUCACAGUAUGGCCAGAACACCCUCCUCCAUGGCCGAGGUGGGACCUUGGGAUUAAGGGAAGCAGAUUGUGGGGAGCCAAACAAUGAAACCGUGCCAGCAUAGGCAUGGCGGCUUCAGAGAGCUGAGAGAGGGCAGGGUGGCUUGGUGCCACACACGUGAAG